rnacentral:lncRNA from 1 species
GAUCCCUCUGGAAACUGAACUUUCUCACCAAAGAAAUAACUUAUGUUCCUGGAAAGAAAUCUGCAUCUGAACAAAGCUGAGAGGAUGUGAGAGAUGUUCGACUUGAGGACGAAAGUUAUGAUUGGUAUCGCUAGCACUUUGCUGAUAGCUGCAAUUGUACUGAUAACUGUCGUCUUCUGUCUUUACCUGAAAAUAUCCAAGGCCCUGAAAUGCGCAAGGGAAGUGGAAAGCUGUAUGGAUCCAACCAAGGCGGUCUCUGAGAAGAUGAUCCGGGGCAAGCCCAUCAUUGCUGAUCCUUGUCGUCCCCUCCAGUGUUGUGACAACUGUAGCCUCUUUAAGGAUGUUGGCGCCAUGCCACCUUGCUUUUGUGGCACAAAUGAGGGACUCUGACAUGGCAAUGGUGGACACAAAAAUCUUCACAAUCAGUAUUCCCUUCUUAGUAGAAUGCUUUAUUUUUCAAGUCAAUUUCUGAAAUGUUUAUAUUCUUAAUUACUCUCUAAUAUGGUCUUUAUGUACUUUAAGCACACAAUAAUCAAAAUGCUCCUGUACCUUUAAUUGGUGAUGGCAAUGGUUAUGAAUGUCCUUUAUUGUAAAUUUUUUUCUCACUUGGAGACUUGAGGCAACUAGCCUGUCACCGGAUGCCACACUCACUCCAGUGGAGUCUGUGUGACCUGAAGCUCUUGUGCUUCGUUUCUAUCCAGAACAGAGACAGGUGCCUGGAACGGCUUGGCCUCCUGGAGGGCCCUGGCCGUCUCCCUACAGAAAGAUGAUGACCAGGGUCUACGCUUGCGGUGGAGGUGCCUUCUGUGUUCUAGCCUUGGUGAUCUUAGCAACUUUAAGCCUGUCAACAAUAUCUGAUUUUAAGAAUAUAGCAGUGUGGGAAGAUGGUCAUAUACCUUUAGAUGUCUCAGGAACUGAAAGUUCAGAGACGGAAACGUCUUACACCAUCAUGAUCCUGAUGAACUCAACGGCUGCGAUGAAUUUACCUGCUGCACCCAUUAGUUCCCAGCAAAUAGGAGAGAAAUUAAUUGCAGCUGUUAAGAACAUGACUGUUCCAGAAAAGCCUUUUCCCCCUUUUGGGAAAGUUUUGUUUAGCAUGAUUCAGAAUAAUAGUGACUCUUUUGGAAAGAUCAUGGAUAAGUUCCAACAAGUUGAAAAAACUUAUCAGGAGUUAACUAGAAGGAAAAGAAAAAUUAAUAUCGAACAAGAAAUGAAAGAAAUUAUAGAAUGGUUACAAAAGUUUCCAUAUUAUUCUGAGGGCCAUAAAUAUAAAGUUUAAACUUUAUUAAAACAAAGGUAAAUGUUGAAUGCAUACCUGGUGCCCACAAGUCUGGCAGUAUAACUGCAGUUUUCUAAACUAUUGUUUGCAGUUGAGAAUUGUUUCCUAGACUAUAUGUUCUGCUUUCCUCCUUACAAGGGACAUUUGGUGGGGUGAUGAAUAAGAGCUGGAUGACUGCCAAUUAUGAUGUACCUGUUCUAACUGCUUAAAUCUAUGCCAAGAAGUAAAGCUUUUUGCAGCAGCAC